GCGAGUAUGGCCCUCACGGGUCUAAUCCACCAUAAACACCUUUGUGAACCAGUCAGGGGGACUCGGCCGUGAAAGCCCAGGCGAUUAGCGGAAGGGCCCUCCUUUGCAAACCCGUUUAGAAGUCUUGAAAGUACUUUUGUAUAAUCUAGCUA
rnacentral:misc_RNA from 1 species